AACCCGGGCGUCCCUUGGAUCUUUGUGGGUUUAGCUACUCCUGGCGCGCAGGACUGACCUGGGCACCGGGCCCCGAGCCCGUGACACAGUGGGGAGUGUCCCUUCUUCUGCCCGCCUGCGAGGGGCUGAGGAGGCCUGGAGCUGGGCGCAGAGUUGCGGGGCCGGUCGUUUCCCUGUGAGGCUCUCCCCAGAAUCCCUGCUGCCUCCGGGCAGUGGAGGAGCGGGCACCGAGGUCACAGGUGUGGCUGGGGCCGUUUUUCCUGGUGCUCUGCGUGAGAGCUGGGUUCCAGAGCCUGGUCCCUAGGAGGAGAGUGGCGGAGCGGAGCCCGUGGGCGGAGGCCGGGCGCGUGAGGGGUCUGGGAGUGGGAGCGGGAGAAGAGCAUCGCCCCCGCAGCCAUGCUGCGCGCCGCUGGGAAGUGGACCCGGGUUUGAUAGCCCUGCUCUGGGCGCUGCGGGUUGGCUGGGCGUCGCUGCCGGAGUAGGAAUGCCUGGUGUCACCCAGCUUGCUCCCCGCUCCCUGAACCCCGGGAGGACCGCAGGGACCCGGCCGGAGGACAGAGAUUUGGACCUAGUGAAAGGACAUCGUCCCUUAGCACCAGCUAUGGACUCCACAGCAUCAGUUCUCCCUUCUCAGGACCCUGCUCUUCCUCCAGAGAGAUGCCCAGGAGAAAAGGGAACAGCCAGCUUAUUCCUGAAAGCCAGGCCCCAGGACCUGAUGACAUUUGAGGAUGUGGCUGUGGAAUUCACCCGGUGGGAGUGGGGGCAGCUGGACCCUACUCAGAAGGACGUGUACCGGGAAGUGAUGCUAGAGAAUUUCAAGAACCUGGCCUCCCUGGGGUUUCCAAUGUCCAAACCGUAUGUGAUCUGCCAGUUGGAGGAAGGGGAAGAGCCCUGUAUUUUGGAGAGAGAAAUCUCAACAGGUGCCCCCGCAGAUUAUCAGCUGCUCCAGGUCAUUUCUCAUACUUCCUCUCAGAAGUGAACACCCAGUAAGUCCUCACUAACCACGUAUUAAUUUGAAAAACAACUUGUAUUGCCCAAGUUUUCUCAGUGCUCUGACUGCACAGUUUCUACUAGAUGAAAAUCUUUCCUUCUAGAACACUACCAAUCAAAUAUUUUCUUAGAAAAAUACUACAUUGUUCCUGUAAGUAUUUUUCAAUUUCAAAUAUAGAUUAGCAUUGUGCCAUCUUUUGGGGUUGUUGUAUGCGUAUAUGAAAAUUCACUGCUAUUUUAUUUUGUAGCACUACAAUGACUUCUCAUUCCAGCUACCCAGAGGUGGGCCAAACUUCACAGGUUAAGGAAACAGUCACCCACAAGACUGCUCUCACUUCAGACACCAGCCAUGAAUUGGGGGUCCCUAGGUCACCCUUCUGACCAUCUGGCUACAAAUUUGGGAGUUCCCACUACUCUUUCAGACUUGACCACUGGCAAGAACUUAGACAUAGGACUAUGGCUGACGGCAAGGGAGGCUGGAAAUGGAAGUCUUUGUCCUGGGCAGCAAUGGGGCCAAUGAAAAUUGGGGGAUUCUAUUACGAAGGAAGAAGAGGAGGAUGGAUAUUGACAAAUGACCAGGAAUCUGUGCCUGAAGACCCCAAUACUUCAAAGCCAUUUGGGAAUGAGAUCAUAUCCAUGAUCCUCUCUGGGUCUCAGUCUUCUCCUCUGUAAGAUGAAGGGCUUUGCACUUGUGGAAAUAAAUGAGAAGAAACAGGCUGUUUAUUCAGAGCUUGCCAUAGCAAAGGAUCAGCCACUAUCACCUGCACCUGGCAGAGACCCAAAGGCAUGAAGGGAUUAAGAAAGCUUUACGAUGAGAAGAAAAAAAGUGAAAGCUUCAGGUAUGCCCUGACUGGAAGUUGUCAGCAUGGGAAAACUGGAGGGGGGCUAAGUCGGAGCAGGAUAUCUUAUGUGAUUGGUUUGGGCAGUAUAUUUGGUUUUCUAUGGUUGGUUCUAAGUUGGAAGUGAGGGCAAAGAAUAGGGGGGAAGUAGCAGUCAUUUGGCUGUUCUGAGCUGAUUGCUGCAGAGGCUGUGGUCUGGCUUCCAGGCUGGUUGCUGCAAAGGUGUGGGGCAGAGUUCUAUUGUCAUAUAAGGUGUAUCCAUUGUCCACUGGUGUAUUUAGUCCCUCAGUUCUCCCUUUUGGCCACUUUCUUGCUUGAGAGAGGCUGACCAAUUCAGAGAUGCUAGAGAGCCAGAUCUUUACGGAGGACUGUUUGGUUGUCUCCAUAGUAAACUUAUCAUGAGAUCUUUUUGAUCUUUUUGUUGUUGUAUCAUCAUGGCAAUCAGAUCUGAUGAGAGAGAAGCUGUGCAGAAGCAUUGAGCCAAGUAGGGUUUUCUUUAAGGUGAUGUACUGCCUGUUCUACCAUGCCUGUUUCAUUGAGCCAACUAUAGCAAUGGCAUAGAUGCCCCCAUGAUCAGUCAGUAAGAAGUUUAGUGCAAAGCAAUCGCCCAUAACUACUUGAGCCAAUGAGCUGAGACAAAUCUACAGAUCUUCAAUCUAGGGAAGAGGUGAUGUCAUAACUUGUGGCAGUUAGUGAGUGAUAGGUCUCUUACAGUCUUUUUGUCUCCCACCAUUGGAAAUACUGCUCUGAUUGUUCACAUAAACAAUGAGUCAGCAAUUCCCCAAGGCAAAGUGCAUGAAUAAUUAAGGGUGGCUGCAUUUUGGAGCUCUUGCCUGGGUUGGAAUUUCCAGCACUGGUGAUGUAUAAAGUUAGGAUUUCUAUAUACAGACAGUUUGGGAAUGCUAUUCCUAAAGUGCAUGAAUUUUUAGUCUGAGGAAAACGAGACCUGUUGACCUGGUUACAAAGGAAGUACAAUCCAGUAAGGGCACGUAGAGAUCCAGGAAAAAAGUUGUUCGUGACAUGAGAUUGGAGCCAAAGCCUCACAUUAGCUCUGCUAUAUAUUUGGAUCCCUUUACUGUCUUCCAGCUGAUAAGUAACUGGCCUACUACCCUAAUGAAGGUUGUUGAAUUCGAAUUCAGAAUUACCUGGAUUCUGAUCAACAGAUUGUGAUAACUGGCUCUUUCUCUGGGACACUAGCAAAGUCACAGGUUGCUUUGUUUAAGGUCAUUUGUCCCUGUAGGUGCUAAUGGAAAAACCACUGGCUUUAAUUCUCUAUAGUCUCAUUUGGUGAGACCAGAACCGUUCAUAUAUAUUUAUCAUGAUGGUCUGCCAAUGGAUGGCAUAUCCGGCAGUUGGUGAGAUUUAGAGUAGUGGCUGCUAUUUAGGAUAAUCUAAGAAUGGCAUUAGAAUGAGUACGCUCUGGGGACUUCCCUGGCGGUCCAGUGGUUAAGACUUUGCCUUCCAGCGCAGGGGGUGUGGGUUCAAUCCCUGGUUGGGAAGCUAAGA